rnacentral:rRNA from 1 species
UACAGAGGUCUCAAGCGUUGUUCGGAUUCAUUGGGCGUAAAGGGUGCGUAGGUGGUGUCGUAAGUCGGGUGUGAAAUCUCGGGGCUUAACCCCGAAACUGCAUUCGAUACUGCGGUGCUCGAGGACUGGAGAGGAGACUGGAAUUCACGGUGUAGCAGUGAAAUGCGUAGAUAUCGUGAGGAAGGCCAGUGGCGAAGGCGGGUCUCUGGACAGUUCCUGACACUGAGGCACGAAGGCCAGGGGAGCAAACGGG